rnacentral:lncRNA from 1 species
AUAAUGCUCUAAUUGGACCACAAUAAUGUUAAACAAGCUUAAUCAAAUUCAAAGAAACUUCAAAGAAAUUUUGAACAAAUAAUAGGAAUUCUUAAAGAAAUAUUAGAAGGAUCACAAAUAUCACUCAAAUACAUCUCAAUUCAAUCUUAAUUUAAUCCUAGUUAAAAUCCUAUUGGACUUCAUUCAAACUUUAGGCCAAAAUUAAUUAAAUCUUAAACUCUAAAAAAUCCUAAUAAAAUCCUAAACCAAAUCCUAAUCAAAUCCUAAAUCCAAACCCUAAAUUCUAAACUAAAUCCUAAAUCAAAUCCUAACCAAAUCCUAAACUAAAUCCUAAACCCUAAAUUAAAUCUUAAACAAAUUCUAAACGAAAUCCUAAAUCCUAAAUCAAAUCCUAACUAAAUCCUAAUCAAAUCCUAAUUUAAAUCCUAAAUCCUAAACCAAAUCCUAAAUCAAAUCCUAAAUCCUAAACCAAACCCUAUCCAAAUCCUAAACCAAAUCCUAAUCCUAAACCAAUUCCUAACCAAACCCUAGUAAUUCCUACAACAGAUUUAAACCUCAAUAACUAAUGAAUAAACCAUCGAUCU